ACUCAAUCCCUUGAAUGAACACAUGUGGAAAUGACUCAGCAGGUGAGUCAAAUGGCACGUGGUGGAAUUGAAAGGAAUUUAAAAAUGGAAACAUGCGCCAAAAGCCUCAUGUCAACUCUCCCACAUCUCAGCUCACCACCAUCGUGGACCACCACGCCGGAAAUCGCCUCCGGCGACGGUGGCCACCAGAAAUGCCAAUCGAAUACACCAUUGAAACCAUUUCAAUCUCCUCCUCACAAAUAUCCUUCCAAUUUAUCCAGAUUUUUGCUCUAUCUUAUUAACCGAAACAACGACCUCAAGAACCCUAACCUCUUAAUCUUAAAUUAAAUCCCACUCUCUCAGAAUCAAAUCCCUAGAGGUUAGGGCUUUGAGUCUCCUGACCUCACUCUAUAUUUUGGUAACCUCUACACAAUGAAACAAUGAAGAUGAUAAAGAUACUCAUAGGAAAAAUGCCGGAAUCAGGUUGGUUACAACGGAUGGAGUUAUUGCAUGGUUGUAGUUGGUUUGGCAUGACAAUGAUGUUUAGUUUGUUGCAAGGUCUUGUGCAGGUCUGCUUGGCCUUGUGUAGCAGGAUGAUGGUGAGACGUAGGUGAUUAUGAUCAGGUUGUUGUAAGUCAUGGCUUGAUGUAUGUUGACAUGGCGAUCUGGUGCAAGGCAAGUUGUAGGUCCAAGUUAUGGUGUGUUGAUGCAAGGUCAUGGUGUGAUGCCGCAUGUGUAUACCAUUGCUUCAUGUUGCAGCUUAUGGCUUUGUGCAUUGGAAUGGUCCUGACUUGGUUAUUUUUGUAAAUUUACUGGCUUGGCUGGGUUCAUGGAAUGUCUUACUUCAUGUUCUGUAGUCCUGACUUGGACUAUCAUGGCCUGUGUUUGCAACAUGUGUAUUGUGACUGUUCUACUGCAGGAUUAUUACUCGUUAUGCAUUGCUGUAACAUAGGUCUUGGCUAUAAAGAAAAAGCUACAACAUGAGGUUUCUUUUGUGGCCACUUGAUCAUGACUUAGUGGAUUGGAAAUGGAUUGUGAGGCUUGGAAGGCAAGAUUCACAAGUCAUCAUGCAAGGCAAAAACAAGUUCAAGGCAUGGCAAUGCAUGAAGACAAAUUGGGAGACCAAGUUCAAAUAGCCAUUUCAAUAUCAAAAAUGGGGAUGGUGGAUGAAAUUAGGACUAGGACUAGUCCUUUAGUGAUUUGGUAUGAAAAAAGAUCCAGGUUAAUUUGGUCAAAGUUUACCAAAAAGUCAAUUGUUGACUUUGGUCAACAAUUGGCCAACAUGUGUUUUUUUUUUAAAAUUUUUGGUAUGUAAUAAACAUUUUAUGUGUGAUAAUGAAUAAAGUUGACCAUUUGAAUGAAAAAUUAAUGGAUUAAAUUUAUGAAUA